AUUUAGCGUGGACACACAGGGAUAACUAGCCAGUGAAAUCGCGUGUGUGCGUCCUUGAGAACUGUAAGUUGUAUAACUUAUGUUGUCAGUUUAUUGUUAGCUGGUGAUUUUGUUGUUUGUGUUCUUCACCUGCUAGCUAGGUUGCACGUAGCUGUUGAUUCGAUAUACUGGCAAUUGUUGAACGCCCUCACUCACGUUUGUAUUUUAUGUUCAUUUUUAUUUGCUACAGUAGUUACACUGCAUUAAGAUAAUAUAAUUGAUAGUUUAAUUUAAUUUAUUGUUAUUAUUUGCUAGCCUAUAUAUAAUUUAUAUGCAUUGUGUUUGGUAGCCUUUACAAUGUUAUUUAUAUACAGCAUUUGACCAGCAUAAAAUCGGCAUAUGUCAGAUUGACCGGCCGGUCAUGGCUGAUCAAGUGAAAAUCGGCCAAUACCGUACAAUCGGUACAUCUCUAAUUUUAAUAUCCGGUAGAAACAGGCCCUGCAUGUCUCUGUCAAUCUUAAAGUUAGUACAGUACUUUCUCUUAUAUCAGCUUUUUACUAACCAGACCA